rnacentral:rRNA from 1 species
CAAUAGCGUAUAUUAAUGUUGUUGCAGUUAAAAAGCUCGUAGUUGGAUUUCUGAUGAGAGCCCUGGUCACUUUAACGAGUGUACUGAUGUGGCGUUUUGUCGUUUCAUGGGGAUGCUUGCUGGUAUUAAGUUAUCGGCUUGUGGAUCCAUGUCGUUUACUGUGAAAAAAUUAGAGUGUUCAAAGCAGGCCAUCGCUGUGAAUACAUUAGCAUGGAAUAAUAAGAUAGGACUGUGGUGCUAUUUUGUUGGUUUGCGUACUACGGUAAUGAUUAAUAGGGAUAGUUGGGGGUAUUCAUAUUCAAUUGUCAGAGGUGAAAUUCUUGGAUUUAUGGAAGAUGAACUACUGCGAAAGCAUUUACCAAGGAUGUUUUCAUUAA